rnacentral:rRNA from 1 species
GAUGAACGCUGGCGGCGUGCCUAAUACAUGCAAGUCGAGCGAACGGAUAAGGAGCUUGCUCCUUUGGAGUUAGCGGCGGACGGGUGAGUAACACGUGGGUAACCUACCUAUAAGACUGGAAUAACUUCGGGAAACCGGAGCUAAUGCCGGAUAACAUUUGGAACUGCAUGGUUCUAAAGUAAAAGAUGGUUUUGCUAUCACUUAUAGAUGGACCCGCGCCGUAUUAGCUAGUUGGUAAGGUAACGGCUUACCAAGGCAACGAUACGUAGCCGACGUGAGAGGGUGAUCGGCCAAACUGGAACUGAGACACGGUCCAGACUCCUACGGGAGGCAGCAGUAGGGAAUCUUCCGCAAUGGACGAAAGUCUGACGGAGCAACGCCGCGUGAGUGAUGAAGGUUUUCGGAUCGUAAAACUCUGUUAUUAGGGAAGAACAAAUGUGUAAGUAACUGUGCACAUCUUGACGGUACCUAAUCAGAAAGCCACGGCUAACUACGUGCCAGCCGCCGCCGUAA